rnacentral:rRNA from 1 species
GGGUUGUGAGGUUAAGCGACUAAGCGUACACGGUGGAUGCCCUGGCAGUCAGAGGCGAUGAAGGGCGUGCUAAUCUGCGAUAAGCGCCGGUAAGGUGAUAUGAACCGUUAUAACCGGCGAUACCCGAAUGGGGAAACCCAGUGUGAUUCGUCACACUAUCAUUAACUGAAUCCAUAGGUUAAUGAGGCGAACCGGGGGAACUGAAACAUCUAAGUACCCCGAGGAAAAGAAAUCAACCGAGAUUCCCCCAGUAGCGGCGAGCGAACGGGGAGGAGCCCAGAGCCUGAAUCAGCAUGUGUGUUAGUGGAAGCGUCUGGAAAGGCGCGCGAUACAGGGUGACAGCCCCGUACACAAAAGCGCAUGUGCUGUGAGCUCGAUGAGUAGGGCGGGACACGUGAUAUCCUGUCUGAAUAUGGGGGGACCAUCCUCCAAGGCUAAAUACUCCUGACUGACCGAUAGUGAACCAGUACCGUGAGGGAAAGGCGAAAAGAACCCCGGCGAGGGGAGUGAAAAAGAACCUGAAACCGUGUACGUACAA